rnacentral:lncRNA from 1 species
AUGUUCUCUCUGGUGGCCAGUGUCCAUGUUCUCUCUCGUGGCCAGUGUCCAUGUUCCCUCUCGUGGCCAGUGUCCAUGUUCCCUCUGGUGGCCACUGGCCAUGUUCCCUCUGGUGGCCACUGUCCAUGUUCUCUCUGGUGGCCACUGUCCAUGUUCCCUCUGGUGGCCAGUGUCCAUGUUCUCUCUGGUGGCCAGUGUCCAUGUCCCCACUGGUGGCCAGUGUCCAUUUUCUCUCUGGUAGCCACUGUCCAUGUUCUCUCUGGUGGCCACUGUCCAUGUUCUCUCUGGUGGCCAGUGUCCAUGUUCUCUCUGGUGGCCAGUGUCCAUGUCCCCACUGGUGGCCAGUGUCCAUGUUCUCUCUGGUGGCCACUGUCCAUGUCCCCACUGGUGGCCAGUGUCCAUGUUCUCUCUGGUGGCCAGUGUCCAUGUUCCCUCUGGUGGCCAGUGUCCAUGUUCCCUCUCGUGGCCAGUGUCCAUGUACCCUCUGGUGGCCAGUGUCCAUGUUCUCUCUGGUGGCCAGUGUCCAUGUUCUCUCUGGUGGCCAGUGUCCAUGUUCUCUCUGGUGGCCAGUGUCCAUGUUCUCUCUGGUGGCCAGUGUCCAUGUCCCCACUGGUGGCCAGUGUCCAUGUUCUCUCUGGUGGCCAGUGUCCAUGUUCCCUCUGGUGGCCAGUGUCCAUGUUCCCUCUCGUGGCCAGUGUCCAUAUUCCCUCUCGUGGCCAGUGUCCAUGCUCCCUCUGGUGGCCAGUGUCCAUGCUCCCUCUGGUGGCCAGUGUCCAUGUACCCUCUGGUGGCCAGUGUCCAUGUUCCCUCUGGUGGCCAGUGUCCAUGUACCCUCUGGUGGCCAGUGUCCAUGUUCCCUCUGGUGGCCAGUGUCCAUGUACCCUCUGGUGGCCAGUGUCCAUGUUCCCUCUGGUGGCCAGUGUCCAUGUUCCCUCUGGUGGCCAGUGUCCAUGUUCCCUCUGGUGGCCAGUGUCCAUGUUCUAUCUGGUGGCCAGUGCCUAUAUGUUAAAUACUCCACAGGUCCACUGGCUAUGUUUGCUUGAGGAUGGGUUAGGGUUGGUUAGGACUAUCAUGGAGAGAUGA